GAUCCUGGCUCAGGACGAACGCUGGCGGCGCGCCUAACACAUGCAAGUCGAACGAGAGAUGAGGAGCUUGCUCUUCAAAUCGAGUGGCGAACGGGUGAGUAACGCGUGAGGAACCUGCCUCAAAGAGGGGGACAACAGUUGGAAACGACUGCUAAUACCGCAUAAGCCCACGGCUCGGCAUCGAGCAGAGGGAAAAGGAGUGAUCCGCUUUGAGAUGGCCUCGCGUCGAUUAG
rnacentral:rRNA from 1 species